rnacentral:rRNA from 1 species
CUUUUGUUUUUUUAAAAGGUUCUACCUGCUCAAUGAAUAUUUUUUAAAUAGCCGCAGUAUAUUAACUGUGCUAAGGUAGCAUAAUAAUUAGUCUUUUAAUUGAGGUCUGGAAUGAAUGGUUUAACGAAAAAAAUUUUUUAUUAGCAUUAUUUAUUUUAAUUUGUUUUUCUAGUUAAAAUUCUAGAAUGUUUAAGAGGGACGAUAAGACCCUAUAGAUCUUAAUAAUUUUAAAUUUAAUUAAUUUUUUGUUGUUUUUUUUUUUAUUUUUAACUUUUUUUUGUUGGGGUGACAGCUAAAAAUUUGAACUUUAGUUUUUAAUAACAUUUUUAUAUGAUUUUUUUGAUCCUUAUUUUUUGAUUAAAAGAAUAAGAUACCUUAGGGAUAACAGCGUAAUAUAUUUGGAGAGUUCUAAUUGAUAAAUAUGUUUGCGACCUCGAUGUUGGAUUAAAGUUAAACUAUGGGGUAGGUUUUAUAGUAUUAG